rnacentral:rRNA from 1 species
UGGGGAAUAUUGGACAAUGGGGGCAACCCUGAUCCAGCAAUGCCGCGUGUGUGAAGAAGGCCUGAGGGUUGUAAAGCACUAUCAGUGGGGAGGAGGAUUUGUAGGUUAAGAGCUAGCAAAUUGGACGUUACCCACAGAAGAAGCACCGGCUAACUCCGUGCCAGCAGCCGCGGUAAUACGGAGGGUGCAAGCGUUAAUCGGAAUUACUGGGCGUAAAGGGUUCGUAGGUGGUUGUAUAAGUUAUCUGUAAAAGCCCUGGGCUCAACCUGGGAAGGUCAGAUAAAACUGUAUGACUCGAGUAUAGGAGAGGGUAGUGGAAUUUCCGGUGUAGCGGUGAAAUGCGUAGAGAUCGGAAGGAACACCAGUGGCGAAGGCGGCUACCUGGCCAGAUACUGACACUGAGGAACGAAAGCGUGGGGAGCAAACAGG